AGUGAACGCUAGCGGUAGGCCUAACACAUGCAAUUCGAACGGCAGCACAGGAGAGCUUGCUCUCUGGGUGGCGAGUGGCGGACGGGUGGGGAAUACAUCGGAAUCUACUCUGUCGUGGGGGAUAACGUAGUGAAACUUACGCUAAUUCCGCAUACGACUUACGGGUGAAAGCAGGGGACCUUCGUGCCUUGCGCGAUUGAAUGAGCCGAUGUCGGAUUAGCUAGUUGGCAGGGUAAAGGCCAACCAAGGCGACGAUCCGUAGCUGGUCCGAGAGGAUGAUCAGGCACACUGGAACUGAGACACGGUCCAGACUCCUACGGGAGGCAGCAGUGGGGAAUAUUGAACAAUGGGCGCAAGCCUGAUCAAGCCAUACCGCGUGGGUGAAGAAGUCCUUCGGAUUGUAAAGCCCUUUUGUUGGGAAAGAAAUCCAGCUGGCUAAUACCCGGUUGGGAUGACGGUACCCAAAGUAUAAGCACCGGCUAACUUCGUGCCAGCCGCCGCGGUAA
rnacentral:rRNA from 1 species